rnacentral:lncRNA from 1 species
AUAUCAAGCUGUUAUAAAAUAUAAUUGCAACUCGAAAUAUAAAUGUCUGUCAAGUAUAUGUUCACCAGCUCAGCAUAAAAAUCAUCUAAUUCAAGAACAAUAAAACAAAUUACUUAUUUCACCAGUUCGAGUAAUAUCUGAAUCCGAACGGGUAAUAUCUGAAUCCGAACAGGUAAUAUCCAAACCCGAAUAGAUAUCCGAAGAUAACCAAACAUAAGUAUGAAUUAGUGUAUUUCUAACCUAUUAAUAGUUUAGUCUUUUAAAAACUAGAAAACCAGUUAAGUUAAAAUAUAUUUUAAACACAAAAAACUUAAACAAUGAAUAAUUUAUUUAUUUUUCUUCAAAAUUUAAAUAUCCGAACCCAACCCAAAUACCCGACUC